GAUGAAGACGUAGCGAAAUGCGAUAAGUAAUGUGAAUUGCAGAAUUCAGUGAAUCAUCGAAUCUUUGAACGCACAUUGCGCCCGCCAGUAUUCUGGCGGGCAUGCCUGUUCGAGCGUCAUUUCAACCAUCAAGCCCCCGGGCUUGUGUUGGGGACCUGCGGCUGCCGCAGGCCCUGAAAAGCAGUGGCGGGCUCGCUGUCACACCGAGCGUAGUAGAUUUUAUCUCGCUCAGGGCGUGCUGCGGGUUCCGGCCGUUAAACCACCUUCAUAACCCAAGGUUGACCUCGGAUCAGGUAGGAAGACCCGCUGAACUUAAGCAUAUCAAUAAGCGGAGGA
rnacentral:misc_RNA from 1 species